GCCGCCGCCGCCCCGCGUCCGGUUCUCCCCCCUUCUCCCUCUUCGCCGCGGCCGCUGCUCGCCUCGUCCCCCUCGCGCCUCCACCCCCUAGCCUCGCCUUCUCCUCCUCCCGUCCUCUCCUCCGCCGCUCGGUCGCUGUGCCCGUGCUGCUCAACCCCCGCCGCCCCAUCGGCUGCUCCGUCGCCGUUCAUGGCAUCCGGGAGGCACACGCGGGCACGCCCCCUCCCGUCAUGCCAUCAAGGGUAGGAGCCAGGCGGAGCGCGCCCCCCUUUCUCUUCCUCCUGUCGCUCGCGCCGCCACCCCUGCCUCCUCCUCUCCCGUCGACCACCUUCCCCGCCCCGCAUAUUCUCCUCUCCGUCGCCGGCUCGCUUCAGCCUCCCCCUCCUCCUCCUCCUCUUGUCCCGCACACAUGUCCCGCACGAGUCGAGGAGGCGAGAUCCAGCCGUGGCGGCCGGGAUCCAGCUCGCUGACGCGAUCCACUGCCGUUCCCGAGCCCGACAACGAAGGAGGUGGGCGGCCAUCCAUCCCCACAUAGUGGUGGACGAAGGAGGUGCACGUACACGGCGAGGUCGACGUGCCUCCCCCCGGAUCCGUGCUGGCCGACGGCGACGGCCGUGCAGCGAGGGAGCCCUUGAUCUCUCCUCAUCAACAGCCUGGAUGUGAUGGCCAUUGCCAGGUUUGAAGGUGGCCGAGGUUGUUGUCAGCGAUUGGUUCCAUGGAUCCAUCUUAUGUGUGGCUCUGUGCAGCCUGCAGGCACCGGGAGGCAUCACAGUCUGUAAGGCAAGCAUCAUGCAAAACGCCUGUACCCGUUCGGCCCGCAGCAAGACUUGGCAUCAUCGUUCUUCUCCAAAGAUUUCGUCCUUACAGAGAGGUAGGCUGGAUUCUGGAAAUUGGAGUCAAUGGUGGAUCAGAGAGGCACCAUAUUACUACAUCAUACAAAAACUGACCAACAGUUUUCAUUGUACCAUACAGCUACUUUCUCCCAGUUUGAUCUAACGGAGCAUCUUUGCAGAAAUGCAUCGAGAAUCAAAGCUUAUAUUGGUGUACCAGAACUUCUCAAAUUUUGGAUAAAAUCUUCAAGGUCAUCCACGGCUCACAUGGUCAUCUAUGAUCCGACUUUAUAGUGAAGAUGUUCAGUAGUCUAUAAUGAGAGGUCCGUGACAGUGUAACUCCAUAUAUUAAUAGACCAUGAUGGAAAUAGACAAACAAAGCAUACUUAUUUAUUCCAAGAUCGGUCGCAUCAUAGGGAUAACCAAGUUCUGCAGCUUUCCUAAAGUAAUUUAUGGAGACUCUGCCUUUAUGUGAGUCUUCGGGCCUUGCUGAAUUUUAUUUUAUGAAUGCAUCAUCAUGGGCGAUUAUGUUCACUGUUGAUCUGAAUGCUUCAACGGAACUCAUCAUGAAGUUCAUUGUUUUUUGAGUAAGUGCUUUCCUUGCAUAGUUCUGAGUUUUGGAUCUAAUGGGUAUCAAAACUGUACAUUUUUAGCUCUUGGUUCUAAAUUUCAUUCCAAAGAAGGCUAACUUUUCAUUUAUAUUUGUUGUUUUAAGAAAUGCUAAGAACUACUAAUAUUAGCUAAUGUGAUAUUGCACUUUUAGGAACAAUUGCUCUCAGCUUCUUCCAAGUUGAAUUUAACUAAAAAGUAGGUGUCCUGAUUCUCUAAUGACCACGGAAAAAAUAUUUUAUUUCGAAUGCACCACAAUGCUGUUUUGGUCUGUUUUUAUUCAACAGUAGCGGACUCCUGUAUAAGACCAAGAGUUGAACUACGCUAUAAUGCUAUUGUGGUUUAUGUAGGAGAGUAGCAGCUCACACUAUGAGAAGCUUGGGCGACUGGGUCUAUUAUGCACAUAUGUUCGUGUGAGUGAGUUGUCCCAAAGCUCAAGUGAGCUCCUCCUUUUGAUUUCUUGACCCACAAUGUAAUUUAGAUUUUAUAUGGCUGGUCUGCAUUGAUGGACGGCCUGGAAGACAGAAGUUGAGGUGAUGUAAUCACGUUAGUGUCUCCAAAACGACCUCAUCUUAGUUGUAGAGCUAUUGUGUCAUGGAUCACAUGAAGGUAGACUUUCACUUCAAUUGUAUGGUUAGCUUUCUUCUUUUACGCAAUUCAUGAUGCUAAGGUUGUUUUUUUCUACUAUGUAAUUUCCCCCCUAAUUGGUUUGGGUAAUGGAUGAAUGGGGAUGAUGAUUUGAUUGCUACGUAACUGAUAGUGUUGUGCAGCCAAUACCUGGCUGAGCGCUCGCCGAGAACUAGAAGUAUGGAAGAGCUUGCUGGCCGGCUACGUGGCGCUCCCGUGCCGUAUUGCCGGAAGAGCUCUAUCCGGAGGAGUACGAGGAGGAGCGGGAUCUGCCGGUGCCGGCCAGGUUCCCGACCAACGGACUCGCCUGGUCGCCGCCCCUCACGCCACACCAGCUACGGGACCCCUUGGGGAUGCGGCCCGUGCGGCGGGGACGUCUGCGGCGGCGCGGGCUGGGGACAAUUACUCUAUAAUACAAUGCUCUUACUGCAAAAGAAAUACCCGUCUUAUUUUUACAUUUCUUGUUUUUAUUCAUGUGCAUCAAUCUUCUCUUUUAUCCGCAUCAGGUUGCUAACAGAGUUAAGCAUAUGAGAUAUCCAGCAGAAAAGACAACUAAAGGGUGGAUUUAUUUAAUUUGUUUUGUAUACACAAAGAAAUUAUGUGGGUAUGAAACUCUGCCCACUACCCUGGAUUUAAGUGAUUGGCGGCGGGUUCUGGGUUCAGUGGACAAGGCUAUCUAUCUUAAAUAGUUAACUAUAUAGUUUACUCCUAUGCUUGAUAAAGCAUUGUGAAUUAGUUACAGUGAACAAUCUUUGUUGCUUUUUUUGGUACAGCGUGCUAAACCUUGAUGUGUUUAGUAUAAAAAAUGGACCAUUGGCAUGUAAUGGACUAUAGUGCUAUGGAUAAUUUUGUUCUCUGAACCCAUGGAAUAUAAACCAUGUCUUACUGGGUUGGA